rnacentral:rRNA from 1 species
AUUGAACGCUGGCGGCAUGCCUUACACACGCAAGUCGAACGGUAACAGGUCUUCGGAUGCUGACGAGUGGCGAACGGGUGAGUAAUACAUCGGAACGUGCCCGAGAGUGGGGGAUAACGAAACGAAAGCUUUGCUAAUACCGCAUACGAUCUCAGGAUGAAAGCAGGGGACCGCAAGGCCUUGCGCUCACGGAGCGGCCGAUGGCAGAUUAGGUAGUUGGUGGGAUAAAAGCUUACCAAGCCGACGAUCUGUAGCUGGUCUGAGAGGACGAUCAGCCACACUGGGACUGAGACACGGCCCAGACUCCUACGGGAGGCAGCAGUGGGGAAUUUUGGACAAUGGGCGCAAGCCUGAUCCAGCAAUGCCGCGCGCAGGAUGAAGGCCUUCGGGUUGUAAACUGCUUUUGUACGGAACGAAAAGCCCUGAGUUAAUACCCUGGGGUCAUGACGGUACCGUAAGAAUAAGCACCGGCUAACUACGUGCCAGCCGCCGCAGUAAAAC